rnacentral:lncRNA from 1 species
UCACAUCUCACAAACUUUAUCAGACUCUUUCUCUCUCUUUCUCCCAGAUGGUUUCGUCUUCCGUGAUGAAAGAUGUCUGGAGUGCUGAUGGUUUGAGAUGAAAUCAGAUGAUGAACAACCUGUGAUGAAGAACAAACAUCAAUGAAAUCGAAAACACACAGGGUUGAACACGGAUUUGAAGAAACCCUAACUGAAGGUUUUGUCCGGUCAUCUCUGUUGUGGUUUCUUUCGGCUUUCUUCCACAUCAACGAUUAGCAAACACAAAGGUUUAAUGGUGGCAUGUUUGUGCUGGUUCAACAAAGCUAGAAAGCGGAGGUGACGGCUAGGGUUUCGAUUAGUGAUCUCGGUCUGAUGUUCUUCACGAUAGAGAUGCACUCGAGAUGGUAAAGAUGGAAUUCCAGCAUUGCUUGGGGUUACAGGGAUCCGCGUUUGAGUUUAGUUCUGGCUGGAAUCCGAGUCGAUCGUUUCACAACUACUAUGGCGUCUUCUAGGGUUUCAUCAAAAGUCCAAAUCAAGAAAAUCCGUUGGGUCCAUCACUAAAGGAAGUUGAUCCUUGAAAGAACAGUUGUUGUUGCUGCAGUUUCCUUGUUAGGAACAUUACCAGCUCUAGCAUCAUUCAGCGAUUCCACAAACACCACUAACAAAUGGGUUACCAGAGCACUUGCGCUUCCUACUGCAGGAACUGCCUCUAAGAAAGAGAUUCGAUUGAAACAGAAUCUGCGGUAAAUACUCUGAAGCAUAUAUUUGACAAGCAUGUAAGCUUAAUUAGAGAAAGAUGUUUUUCAAAUGCUUGUGAAGCUGGAGAAUUUGCUAAAGUGGCAACCAAGCCAUUGAGGUUACACGUGUCAAACGUUUAUGGCAUUAGAGAAACCAGAAGGGGUCCCAAUUCAGGUGUUGGCAGAUUUUUUUUAACAUGUUGGUUUUUUAUGUGAAAGAGGUAAUAACUUCUCAUCUCAUAUUUUUUAAAGUAUAGUUUGAACCAUUUACUUUUGGAUCCAUCGAUUCUGGUUACAUUUUCCAAACAGGUCUCAAGUGUAUUUUUAUUAGUAUGCGAAUCAUGUAAAUCGUUUUUACAGAGGUUAGGGUAUUAUUGAGAUGCUAUAUGUGUGUUUUAAUCAUUCUGACUCUUAUUUAUAUAACAAUAGAGGUCCUGGACAAAGUAUUUCAUGUCAACCCAUCCUGAUCUGUAAUGGGUCAAAAUGGACCCAAAUGGGUUGGGCCAACUUACACUCUUUUUUUUAUUAAUUUUUUUCAUUUUAUAAAGUUAUAAAUAUGCAAAGUAUGACUCAAUAGGUCUUUAAAAAUUUGAGUUCAGUUUGUAUGGGUUUUAAUUUGUUCGGCCCUUUUGAUCCAUUUUCUUUUUAGUUAAACCAUUUGACCUGAAAAAUGUAAGACAUUGAAACUGAUAUAUGUGUAAGUUGAUGGUCAUAGGUUAUUGCUU